GUCCUUGUCGAUUAGUGGUUAAAUCAUCACGUUGUGGUUGCGUGGGUAGCUGCUACCCUCCGCAGGAUUUCUGACAUCCGUGAAGCCGGAGGUUCGAAUCCUCCCUGGGACA
rfam:Gloeophyllum trabeum ATCC 11539 unplaced genomic scaffold GLOTRscaffold_00014, whole genome shotgun sequence.